rnacentral:rRNA from 1 species
AUUGGACGCUGGCGGCAGGCUUAACACAUGCAAGUCGAGCGGGGAAGGGUAGCUUGCUACCUAACCUAGCGGCGGACGGGUGAGUAAUGCUAGGAAUCUGCCAUUUAGUGGGGGACAACAUUCCGAAAGGAAUGCUAAUACCGCAUACGUCCUACGGGAGAAAGCAGGGGAUCUUCGGACCUUGCGCUAAAUGAUGAGCCUAAGUCGGAUUAGCUAGUUGGUGGGGUAAAGGCCUACCAAGGCGACGAUCUGUAGCGGGUCUGAGAGGAUGAUCCGCCACACUGGGACUGAGACACGGCCCAGACUCCUACGGGAGGCAGCAGUGGGGAAUAUUGGACAAUGGGCGGAAGCCUGAUCCAGCCAUGCCGCGUGUGUGAAGAAGGCCUUAUGGUUGUAAAGCACUUUAAGCGAGGAGGAGGCUACUUAGAUUAAUACUCUAGGAUAGUGGACGUUACUCGCAGAAUAAGCACCGGCUAACUCUGUGCCAGCCGCCGCAGUAA